CAGAGGGUGCGAACGUUGUUCGGAAUUACCGGGCGUAAAGCGCGUGUAGGCGGCAACGCAAGUCGGGCGUGAAAUCCCAUGGCUCAACCAUGGAAGUGCACUCGAAACUGCGUCGCUAGAGUCCUGGAGAGGAAGGUGGAAUGCUUGGUGUAGAGGUGAAAUUCGUAGAUAUCAAGCGGAACACCGGUGGCGAAGGCGGCCUUCUGGACAGUGACUGACGCUGAGACGCGAAAGCGUGGGGAGCAAACAGGAUUAGAUACCCUGGUAGUCCACGCCGUAAACGAUGAGUGCUAGGUGUCACGGGCUUUGACCCUCGUGGUGCCGAAGCUAACGCGUUAAGCACUCCGCCUGGGGAGUACGGCCCCAAGGCUA
rnacentral:rRNA from 1 species